UAGGGAAUCUUCGGCAAUGGGGGGAACCCUGACCGAGCAACGCCGCGUGAGUGAAGAAGGUUUUCGGAUCGUAAAGCUCUGUUGUUAAGGAAGAACGAGUGUGAGAAUGGAAAGUUCAUACUGUGACGGUACUUAACCAGAAAGGGACGGCUAACUACGUGCCAGCAGCCGCGGUAAUACGUAGGUCCCGAGCGUUGUCCGGAUUUAUUGGGCGUAAAGCGAGCGCAGGCGGUUAGAUAAGUCUGAAGUUAAAGGCAGUGGCUCAACCAUUGUAGGCUUUGGAAACUGUUUAACUUGAGUGCAGAAGGGGAGAGUGGAAUUCCAUGUGUAACGGUGAAAUGCGUAGAUAUAUGGAGGAACACCGGUGGCGAAAGCGGCUCUCUGGUCUGUAACUGACGCUGAGGCUCGAAAGCGUGGGGAGCGAACAGG
rnacentral:rRNA from 1 species